rfam:Ricinus communis cultivar Hale ctg_1100012361287, whole genome shotgun sequence.
AAACCAUGAUAUGGACAGCUUCUCAGUAAAUCCUUGAACCGUUCCCAAUAACCAUACAAAGUUUCAUUCUUCUAUUGAAGAAACACUGCUAUGUCAUUUCUUAACUU